UACGGAAGGCAGCAGUGGGGAAUAUUGCACAAUGGGCGCAAGCCUGAUGCAGCCAUGCCGCGUGUAUGAAAAAGGCCUUCGGGUUGUAAAGUACUUUCAGUCGUGAGGAAGGUGUUAAGGUUAAUAACCUUAGCAAUUGACGUUAGCGACAGAAGAAGCACCGGCUAACUCCGUGCCAGCAGCCGCGGUAAUACGGAGGGUGCGAGCGUUAAUCGGAAUUACUGGGCUAAAGGGCACGCAGGCGGUUAAUAAGUUGGAUGUGAAAUCCCCGGGCUUAACCUGGGAAUGGCAUUCAAGACUGGUUAGCUAGAGUCUUGUAGAGGGGGUAGAAUUCCAUGUGUAGCGGUGAAAUGCGUAGAGAUGUGGAGGAAUACCGGUGGCGAAGGCGGCCCCUGGACAAAGACUGACGCUCAUGUGCGAAAGCGUGGGGAGCAAACGAGGGAUUAGAUACC
rnacentral:rRNA from 1 species